AGCAUUUACAACUGAGCUGUAUGUACCUAACUCCAUUUAUCUUUUAAGUGUUUAGUUCCCAGUACACUGGAGUGUUGAAGAAAAAAAUACUAAUGAAUCUGAAGAAUGAUGGACCCUUCAGUCCAAUGCCAUCUAGCCAACAGUGAUGUUUCAAGACAACUGAAUGAUCAGAUCAUGGGCAUCUCAAGAGAGUCAUGAGGGACUUCUGGGGACAACACUGUCAGGUUCCAGCAGUACAACAUCCUGCAAAGGACAUGGAACUUCCAUCAGAUAGCCUUUGGGGCCCAGGAAACUGUAUGGAGAUGUCAUAGGAACAGAUGCAACAACAAGUAAGUACUGCUACAGUGUACAUGGCACCUGCCUGAGUCUACGGAAAGCCUGAAGCAGUGGUUCUGAGAUGGCACUCUUCAAGAGGAG
ensembl:lncRNA